rnacentral:rRNA from 1 species
AUUGAACGCUGGCGGAAUGCUUUACACAUGCAAGUCGAACGGCAGCACGGGGGCAACCCUGGUGGCGAGUGGCGAACGGGUGAGUAAUACAUCGGAACGUGCCCGGUCGUGGGGGAUAACGUAGCGAAAGGUACGCUAAUACCGCAUACGAUCUGAGGAUGAAAGCGGGGGACCUUCGGGCCUCGCGCGAUCGGAGCGGCCGAUGUCAGAUUAGGUAGUUGGUGGGGUAAAGGCCUACCAAGCCGACGAUCUGUAGCUGGUCUGAGAGGACGACCAGCCACACUGGGACUGAGACACGGCCCAGACUCCUACGGGAGGCAGCAGUGGGGAAUUUUGGACAAUGGGCGCAAGCCUGAUCCAGCCAUUCCGCGUGCAGGACGAAGGCCUUCGGGUUGUAAACUGCUUUUGUAUGGAACGAAAAGGCUCUGGCUAAUACCUGGGGCUCAUGACGGUACCGUAAGAAUAAGCACCGGCUAACUACGUG